ACGGGGCGCAGCAGGCGCGAAACCUCCACAAUGUGGGAAACCACGAUGGGGGAACUCCAAGUGCCUACGCUUUAGUGUAGGCUGUUCUCGAGCCUAAAAAGCUCGAGAAGUAAGGGCCGGGUAAGACGGGUGCCAGCCGCCGCGGUAAUACCCGCGGCCCGAGUGGUGCUCAUUAUUAUUGAGCCUAAAGCGUCCGUAGCUGGCCGGGCAAGUCUCCGGGUAAAUCGGGCCGCUCAACUGUCCGAAUUCCGGAGACACUGCUCGGCUUGGGAUCGGGAGAGGGUGAAGGUACUCCCUGGGUAGGGGUAAAAUCCUGUAAUCCGGGGGGGACCACCAGUGGCGAAGGCGUUCACCUAGAACGAAUCCGACAGUGAGGGACGAAGCCCUAGGGCGCAAACGGGAUUAGAUACCCCGGUAGUCUAGGGUGUAAACGCUGCAGACUUGGUGUUGGGGGUCCUGCGUGGGCUGCCAGUGCCGGAGCGAAGGUGUUAAGUCUGCCGCUUGGGGAGUACGGUCGCAAGACUGAAACUUAAAGGAAUUGGCGGGAGAGCACCGCAACGGGAGGAGCGUGCGGUUCAAUUGGAUUCAACGCCGGAAAACUCACCGGGGGCGACGGAGGGAUGAAAGCCAGGCUGAAGACCUUGCCCGAUUCUCCGAGAGGUGGUGCAUGGCCGUCGUCAGUUCGUACCGUAAGGCGUUCUGUUAAGUCAGAUAACGAACGAGACCCUCGCCUUCAGUCGCCACUUCACGAGCGAUCGUGAGGGCACACUAGAGGGAUCGCUGCCGCUAAGGCAGAGGAAGGAGAGGUCUACGGUAGGUCCGUAUGCCCCGAAUCUCCCGGGCAACACGCGCGCUACAAAGGUGGGGACAAUGGGAUCCGACCCCGAAAGGGGAAGGCAAUCCUGAAACCCCAUCGUAGUCUGGAUCGAGGGCUGUAACUCGCCCUCGUGAAAAUGGAUUCCGUAGUAAUCGCGGGUCAACAUCCCGCGGUGAAUGUGCCCCUGCUCUUUGCACACACCGCCCGUCAAACCAUCCGAGUUGGUGUUGGAUGAGGUUUAAUUCGAGAGGGUUAAAUCAAAUCUGAUGUCGGUGAGGAGGGUUAAGUCGUAACAAGGUAGCCGU
rnacentral:rRNA from 1 species